GCCCUCUCAGGGUCGCACCUAAAGAGUUUCCAGUACUCUGCCAGUCUCGACUAUGGGAGGGAGAGUCAAGCAGAGGACUACCCACUCCAUUCCUAGCUUGGCCAGUGGCUAGCGAGUGGAAGGCAAUCUAUUACAAGU